ensembl:snoRNA
CCAGCACUUUCACAGGUCCUCAUUUAGUCAGUGGAGCCAGGUUUUGGUAGCUGGUGCUAACAGGAAAGCCUUGAUUACAUCCUUGCCCUGAUACUAUACCAGUGGCAGCUGUCUGUCAAGGGAACAGAG